GCCGGGAUAGCUCAUUUGGUAGAGCAAAGGACUGAAAAUC
rnacentral:tRNA from 1 species